CUUGUUCAAAGGAGAGUCUGGAGGAAAUGAGGUUUCCCUUCCAAGCUAAACAUUCUCUGAUGUCAACAUUACUAAAUUAGUUGAAAGAGUGCAAAUCUUGUGUAGUUUUCUAACACGUGCUGCUGAGAUGUGCUAUUAUCAUUUUAAGUAAAAAAAAAAAAAAACCCACCUUUUUAAACUUAGUUUUUAAAGCCAAGUUUUAGUUCAUAUGUAUUUUUUAAAAACACACGUGCUCAUUUUCAUGUAGGGUUACAAAAGGUCUGCUCAGUUAAGUGAAGGCCUUCAUUAAGAUGGGGAAGCUUGAGGGGCUGGCCCCGUGGCCGAGUGGUUAAGUUCGCGCGCUCCGCUGCAGGCGGCCCAGUGUUUCUUGGUUCGAAUCCUGGGCGCGGACAUGGCACUGCUCAUCAGACCACGCUGAGGCAGCGUCCCACAUGCCACAACUGGAAGAAUCCACAACGAAGAAUACACAACUAUGUACCGGGGGGCUUUGGGGAGAAAAAGGAAAAAAUAAAAUCUUUAAAAAAAAAAAAAAAGAUGGGGAAGCUUGAGCGUGCAAAGAAGAUGAGUAGGAGUCAAACAGAGGAUGAGGUUAAAGAUGUGGGAGUGAGAAAGGAUUCCUUUAGAAGCAAGAGCUCUCUGGAGACAUGAUUUGAUGGGAUCCAGAACACAUGUGAAGUGCUCUCCAGCUAUCUCUGCCAUCUGUUCUUCCCCAGUGUCAUAGGGGAAGGAAGGCACUGGCCCUGGGGCUCUCCUGCAAGUUAGCUGUUGGCUGUGAGGACAUUGAGGGCACACUUGGAGUAUUUGAGACAUGGUGCUAAGCAUCAUAGGAUACAGAGAUGAAUUCAACUGGUACAUUUCCUAGGAUACUACACUGCAAAGAACUGGAUCUUUAGAACAGAAGUGCCUCCUGCAAGCCCAAAGUCUUCACCAACAUUCAGGUUCCACCCAGAGACCACAUUCUCACUGCCUUCUGUGGGUCACCUCCCCCUGUCCUUUUGGGAAUCUUCUCCUUCAAUCCCAUAGAGAACCAACACAAGAGGGAAAGAGGAAGAGUCGGAGCAGAGUCUCUUCCUAAAAGCCACCAUCUGUGGGCGUGAGUGUCUUUGGUCCACGGAUUUCUCCUAAGACCCAUGAUGAUUUUGAUGAGAGAGUAUUGAUUUUAUGGUUCAUUGUAAACAUGGACUUGACCCUGUGACUUGCUUGGCCUCAACACAUGAACAAAUGUACUGCACGUAGAUGCUUGAGAAGGGCUGUGCGUUAGGGCUUGCUGUCUUGCUGUACCUGGAACCCUGAGACAGCCUUGUGAAUGGCCUGAGCUACUCUGCUGCAUGAAGAGAGAGACGCAGUCAUGUCCAUGUCGCUCCACUAACAUAUGCCAACCACCAGAGAUAACACUGAGGCUAUGCUAGACCACAUGAUGCCAGCUGAACUGCCAGCCGCCUAGAUGUGUGAGUGAGCAGCACACAUCAGCUGAGCAGACCCAGACCAGAACUACCACUUGGAAAGUGUGCAUUGGAUUCUUUCCAACACGGAGAAUUAUGGAAAAUACUAAAUGUUGUGAUUUUAAGACACUACAUUUUGGAGUGUUGUUAUGUAGUAAAAGCUAACCGAUACAAUGGUAUUUUUCUAAUCUCUUAAAACUUUUAAAUGCUGAAACUACAGGAUUAGGAUGAGUUCAGAAUGUGAAAAUAUAGUCUUAUGAUGUAACAUUUCUUAAGACUGGCCAUAAAUUCUAUUGAAAUUUUGAAUUCUAUUUGAAAUUUAAUUCCUGAGGAAUUAAAUAAUUGAUAAAGAUUUUUAAAAAAUACUUUAUUGACGUAUGAUUGACAAAAAACUGUAGAUAUUUAAUGUAUACAGCUUGAUGUGUUUGGGAAUUGGUAGAAAUUUUUAUUGUUUUUUAUAAUCUCUAGUGAAGAUGUGAAAUUGAAAUUGGUUGGGGUUAAGAUUUCCAGUUAGUAAAUGAAUAAAAGAAGAGCUGAUUGUCCCAGAUUUUAUUUACUCUGGUUCUGCCUGAUGCACUAGAAGUCAAUGUUUGCUUAAUGAGUAGUCGGUAUUUAUUGCCUUUUCAAUUCAACAACAGGCUAUGUUUUAAAUAUAAAAAUUACCAUGAUAAGUUAUAGCCACCGUCCACUCAUCACUCAGUUACUCAUUCCCUCUAUGCAAGAGGGAAUAUCUUCUCCAAAGAUUCUGCUUGUUUUCAUAUAUUUUAAAGCACUUAUUAGGUACUAUGUAGCAGUCAAUAGGCCCAUAGAAGAGGGCGGUACAAUUUGAGAGCUGUGUGAGGGCUAGAAUUAAGAGGAUGUACAGACUAUAUGGACAUGUGCUUGUAGUUAGUGGGUACAUGGGACACCUCUUGUGCCCCAGUUGGCAUCAGCAACGAGAUGUGUAGGUGUAACCUGGCAAGGCCCUGCCUCAGCUGUACUGUGCAUCUCUUGUUGGCCUGUGACUUCUCUGUUCUUGCUGUGUGGGCUAUCUUAAGGAACCUGCUGAGUCACUGUGACAGAUGCACAGACUGGAAGUGCAAGAGAGUAACACUGCAUGAGACAAUCUUUGACCAAUGAGGGAUGGGAGCCAGGCUAUAAUCUGAACAAAUAUACUUUAAUUACUUGAAUUAUUUCAGCCUCAGUCCCCUGCUCUGUGAAGUGCAAAGAAAAAUUCCUACCUAAUAAUAAAUACCCUCCAGUGUAGUGAGGAUUAAAUGAGAUAAAGUCUGUAUAGGUCUAUCAAAUAGUAUAUGCUCAAUAAAUGUUAGUUUUCCU
rnacentral:lncRNA from 1 species